GGGCGAGUGGCGAAAUGGCAGACGCGCUAGUCUUAGGAACUAGUAGGUAACCCCUGUGGGAGUUCGAGUCUCCCCUCGCCCA
rfam:Candidatus Melainabacteria bacterium RIFOXYA2_FTLL_32_9 rifoxya2_full_scaffold_5395, whole genome shotgun sequence.